rnacentral:tRNA from 1 species
UGGUAUGGCUCAGUUGGUAGAGCAGCUGAUUCGUAAUCAGCAGGUCGGCGGUUCGAGUCCGCCUACC